GGGUUCACUUUCUGUUUUUAUCUGUUGAGGGACACCCAUUGUGCUGAAGGCUGAGUCUAUUUAUUGCAGAGUUAAGACAGUACUUACACACUUAGACUGAGGAUCUUUGCUCAGCCCUUUGCACACAACCUGGUUCCAGGCCAGUAAUAAAUCCAUCAGCCUGACAGUCUCUUAGUUUCCUCAAGGUUUUCAGGUUUCCUCAAGGCUUUCAGGAUGCCUUUCCUGUUCUCAGAUAGUGUGUAAUCUACUUUCCCUCAUGCUUCCCAGGAAUUUUCUGCAGUGUUUGCUUUGCUGUUUCCUUUCAAUAGGUCAUCUAGCCAUGAGCAAGGACAUCUUCAACUAGAUCAGAGCCUCAUCCAACCUGGCCUUGACAUCCAGAAAAAUCAACUAUUCCCACAAGCUAAGACAGUCCUAGGGACAGCGUUGGUCCCAGAAACUCAACUCCAUAAGGGUGCAGAUGUCUCGCUGGUUUUCAUUGCCUUGGCUGACUCACAGAUGAGGAGUGCUGAAGAAGUGCUGUUUUGGGUUUGUUAGAGUGUCACAGAAACAUGUGCUGGCUGCUCUCAGAAGUUCUGCUGGUUAAGGCUGCAUACUUUCAAAUCCCUCACCAGCUCUGACAUGUACCAGCUUUCUCCAAAGAGUGAUCUUCAGGACCCUGAGCUGCUCCUAAUCAAAUCAUACCGCUAAUUCUUUGGUUUGAUAACCAACAUCAUUAAUAAAUGCCAACACUUCUGCACACCUCAUCAGAAUCAAACCUCUGCUGAAAAUUUGUAUCAAAAGGAUUCUUUGCUGUGAUGACUUUUCUCAUGCAGGAUCUUUGUCCCAAGGCUACCCAUCAAAUAGCAAUAAUUAGCUGGUGGUCAGAGGAAACUGUUAGAAAGCACUAACAGUGCAUUAACAGAACAUUACAACAAACACUAACAGAGCAUUAGCACUAACUAAAUUGAUUAACAACUUCAUUUUCUAAAUAAUCUAGAAUUAACAAAAUGAACAAUUGAGGAAUUACAACUCGUAUCUGGAAAUGCC
rnacentral:lncRNA from 12 species